UACGUAGGGGGCAAGCGUUGUCCGGAAUCAUUGGGCGUAAAGCGCGUGUAGGCGGCUUGUUAAGUCCGCUCUGAAAGCCCGGGGCUCAACCCCGGGAGGCGGGUGGAUACUGUCAAGCUCGAGUCCGGAAGAGGCGAGUGGAAUUCCUGGUGUAGCGGUGAAAUGCGCAGAUAUCAGGAGGAACACCUAUGGCGAAGGCAGCUCGCUGGGACGGUACUGACGCUGAGGCGCGAAAGCGUGGGGAGCGAACAGG
rnacentral:rRNA from 1 species